rnacentral:rRNA from 1 species
UACGUAGGGGGCGAGCGUUGUCCGGAUUUAUUGGGCGUAAAGCGCGGGCAGGCGGCCCCGUAAGUCGGCCGUGAAAGCGCCGGGCUCAACUCGGCGAGGACGGGCGAGACUGCAGGGCUAGAGAGAGGCAGAGGGCGGUGGAAUUCCGGGUGUAGUGGUGGAAUGCGCAGAUAUCGGGAGGAACACCAAUGGCGAAGGCAGCUCGCUGGGACGUUACUGACGCUGAGACGCGAAAGCGUGGGGAGCAAACAGG